GGGCCGCUAGCUCAUCAGGUAGAGCACCUGCCUUUUAAGCAGGGUGUGUCAGGUUCGAGUCCUGAGCGGCCUACCA
rnacentral:tRNA from 1 species